rnacentral:rRNA from 1 species
UACGUAGGGUGCAAGCGUUAAUCGGAAUUACUGGGCGUAAAGCGUGCGCAGGCGGUGAUGUAAGACAGAGGUGAAAUCCCCGGGCUCAACCUGGGAACUGCCUUUGUGACUGCAUCGCUGGAGUGCGGCAGAGGGGGAUGGAAUUCCGCGUGUAGCAGUGAAAUGCGUAGAGAUCGGAAAGAACACCAACGGCGAAAGCACUCUGCUGGGCCGACACUGACACUGAGAGACGAAAGCUAGGGGGAGCGAAUGGG